UCAGGCAUGGCUGGACUUGACGUCAAGGGGAAACCUUUACCUUUUUACCUUUUACCCUAGAUAUUGCUAAAUCUUCCCAACUUUCAGGAAGGUCAUCUAAAAAGUUCAGAGAGGGAAUUCCAAAGGAAGCGAUCAGGCCACAAAGUGAAGCGGAGGCAGAUGGGAUCUAUGCAGGCUUUGCAAUCCUUGGCAGGAUGUGCCCGUCCUGCCCAUCCUUUUUAAAUGACAGGCUCAUGACUGGUGGGGACAUACCGUGCUAGUGACGUGUUUCAGAGAGCUACCUCCGCCUGGAGGAAGGAGAAGGCAAUUCUGAACCAGGCAAGGUGCUACAUCUGUAGAGUGCUGUGGCAGGGACUGAUUGUUCAUUUACUAAACAGAACGCUGGAUAAUUUUGAUGGCUCAUUAAUAAAACUGAGGAGGAGACACAGAAAUCAGAUUUGCGUGUUGCUGGACUUGUGCAAGGAGAGCCCUUUUUCAAAAGUUGUGCUGUUUCUUCCUAGCUGGCCUGUAUCUGGAGUUCGUUCAUAGCCAUUCUGGAUAUCCAAGGGGGAAACCCACAGAGCCUUUGAAGCAUUGAAUACCAGAUCGGUCAUCUCACCCGGUGAUUUCAUUGCCAGUGGGGAAUUUAUAAAUUGAGCCAGAAGAAAACAGCUACAUGAGUGCUGCUGAGAUGCAAGGUGCUGUGUAGGGCUGCCAGGUGGCAGCAGAGGAAAGAAACGGAGGGUGAGGGUUCAGCCUGUGUUUAUAAGGGAGCAUACAUUAGCAGGUGAAGCCUUUUACAGCAAGGAGCUAAGUACGAUAAGGUAAAGGUUUGUCAUAAAACUCACAUUUCAACCUGCUAUAAAAAUUGCACUGGGAGCCUGUUGAGUUGGGCAGGUCUAACUGUGGGGUGUGCUACAAAUGAGGGAGAAAUGUGGCAACUAUUACCUUAAAGAUGCAUUCCAUCAUGAAAGGUGCUUGUGAGCAAUUUGCAAGUGAGGCAAAAUUGUGUACCAAAAUACAUGUAUUAAGAGGAAAGGGCACAGAAGUGUAUGCUCUUCUGUGUUAGCAUGCAGACUUUUGGAAAAAAAAAAAAAAACCUUUCCAUUUUGGGUCAAAAUGAAUUUGGUUAGAAUGAACCAACAAAUCAAUUCCUCGGUGUGUGGAUGCAGGCUUGCAUGCACGUGGAGAGAGGAAAAUGGAAAAUGCUUGGAUAAAGAGGAAGAUUCUGAAAUAGGGCCGCAGAGGCCAUACGAUCCAUGCUGUCAUAUUCCAGAGGGUGGUGUGCUCACUGGCUACAGAAAGUAGAGUUUUCUUAGGGAACACCAUGGAAAACCAGGGCAAAGUCAGCAUGGGCUUUAUUGGAGAAGUGAAUGUCAGUCUGUCUGUCUGACUCAAAGUCUGAACAUGAACCACACACACACACACACAGAAGUAGAGAGAGAGAGAGAGAGAGUUCAUCGUUGCAGAUGCCUGGAUGCUUCUGCUGCCACCCCUGCUUAGAACACACCUUUGCCACCUGUUGUACAUGUGUAGCUGUAUCACCUAAACCCAGUGUUCUGCUCCCCAUGGCCAUAAGGGGGCAGCAGUACAUAAAAGGGCAGGGGAUACCUCAAGCAAGUGAUCACUGAUAGAGCAGCGUAAAAUGCAGGUCCCCGUCUUUCCUCAUGUUCGUCUGAAUUGCACCGGGAAAUGACUGGGGGAGCAGAAAAUUCUCCACCAUGGGCUGCCAGAGGAUUUGUGUGGGCCUUUGCUUUGAUCAGCCUUGUGCUGCUUCUCACUGCCCUGGAUACAGACUACUGGGUGCAAGGUGCUGACCACAUGGGUCUGUGCAAGAUUUGGUUACAUCGGUUGCCGUGUUAUUCAUCUGGAAUGGAUGUGCCAGGUAAGAGCCUGUCUGGACCAGACUGGAAAAGGAACUGGACUGCAGUGAAACCACAGAAAAGAGUCACUAGUUCUCUUUCAUUUCUUUAUUUCUUUAUUUAUUUAGGAAGCUUCUAUGCCGUCCUGUUUGCCGAAGCCUCGGGGUGGCUCACAUCAAGGAUUUGGGGCAGGUGUGGGACAGUUAAAGGGUCAACACCCUGUUUAUCUUGUGCGACCAAUAAUAGCUGUUGCAGACUCUGGUCACUUUGGGGAACAGAGCCAGGAGCACCUUUGCAGGCACCUGCAGGGAACAGCUGAGGUGCAGUGAUGCAGUGCAGCUGGAGGCCCUGGAGAGCGGCAUCGAAAGCUUCAGUGCACUGCUGCUCUGGCCACCCCAUGACCUCUGUGCUCCGGCUCCCUGCAUCACCUCACCUGAAUUGUGGUCCCUGCCCUGCCCUGCCCUGCCCUGCCCUGCCCUGCCUCCAUCCUUGUCUCCAGUCUGGCCCUGAUUCCCAGGUACCUUCAUCCAUCCUCCCUACCCUCACCUUGCUCUUGAAUGUGUCCAUCUUCCUGGAACUUGACCCGUGCCAUGAUAUCUUGGACGGUGUUUGCUUGGAUCUAUCUCUCCCUGGCUCUGACACUGCCAUCUGUGUGCCUCGCACCACUCCGGUGUCCUAGGCUAAGCUAUAGUCCAAGGAAGUGAGCCAGAGGUAUUCCGUGCAUGUCCUCAAAAGUAUUUUAACCUUUAUCCAGCAUUAAAAAAACAAAAGCAGCUAACGUUCUCUGUUUGAGGGGUCAUUUUGUCACCCCAGAAAAACGAUCUCUAGGGAUGCAAACGUCCUCAGGGACUGGUCCCUUUGGACUGCAUGUUUCCACCAACAAUUCAGAGUCAGCAUUACAAUGGACCUCAGCUUUCAGCUUGCAGACUUCAGACUACAUCUUUCGUGCAUCAGCAGGUAUGGAUGUAACUCGGCAUAGCAAUGCUUCAGUGUAUCAACCUGCUGUCAUGCCCAAUGCAUUCUGGUUUUUCUUUCAGAGGCUAGUUCCUCUUCCUGACCCUCAGAACAGACUAUGAGAAUCUCCAAUUAACCUCUUUCUAUGUCCUGCUAGUUGUACAUUGUGUGAGGUCACAUAAGGACCCUAAUGGCCAUUAUCAUGCAGAUCUGGGGAACAUUUUAACCCUGUGUUGGUUUAUAAUCACUAAUUAGACAUUAUCCCCAAUCCUAGGGGAUGCUAUUAGGAAAAUCCCAAUGGUGAAAAAAUAUCCUCUUUACUAAAUACAAGACUUUACUCCCCCUGGAGUAAAAUAUUUGAAAUUGUCUCUUCCAAUGAGUCAGUUCAGCAGUUCAGAAAGGCAAAACUUCAGCCAAUACUUAAAUUUAAAUCAGAGGCCCUUCCUUCCUUCAUCCUUGUAUUUGGAAAGCUCAUUUUAAAACAUUUAAGAGAGAGAGGGAAGGGAGGGGGGAGUAAAUAGUUUGCCAACCCAGGUGGUGAGAGAUGCGGGUCAACCACGAAGGUUUUGCAAUCUUUGGUAGGAGGUACCACCUCUGCCAUUCCUGAUAAGUCCAGCCCUGCCUGUGACAGAGGCAGAGGAUGCCACAGACUUGCUCCCUUGCAGUGCUACCUUCACCAGAAGAAAGCCACAGGUGAUUCUGAGCCAGGUGAGCUGAUGCGUCUACAGAUUGCUGUGGGAGGGAGGGCAGUAUUUCUCAGGACUACGCAGGUUCGUGAAUUUAGAUGCUGCAUGAAUGGAAUCAGGAAGCAGAAGUACAAGCAAGGUUGCAGGUCAUUUUUCACUGGACUUUUGCAAGAAUUGUGUCUUUUAAAGGUAUUUUUAGCACCUCUACAUCCUACGCAGCUGCAGAGCACUGAAAAGCUUUAUACGUAUGAGGGUGUAUUUUAUAAAGCUGGUAGAUCAAAUCGGCUCCUGUUUGCAAAGGUGGCAUAGGUCCAGAUGCUUCUGGCAAAAUUACAAAAUAGGCAGGCCUGAAAGCAAAGGCCCUCAUGUUUAUCCAGGGUUAACAAUGUCUGAGAUAACAAUGCCCCUUAGCCGCACAAGAUGUGUAUGCAGAGCACACAGGUGUGUGUUUGUGGGGCAGGGUUUAGGGUGAGCAAGAUUACGUCUCUUUUACUAGCAACUGGUUUCCACUGUUUUUUCCAUCCCAACUGUUAGCCACUUCUUAUAAUGCACGGUGUACAAGGCUGGACUGCAUUUUCAGAAAACUGCCGUAAAAAUCUUGUAUGUGUGCUUUCAUAAUAGGAUUUCCAACUGAAAUGCUCCAAAAUAGGGAACACAUGAAAUGAAUAAAUGAGAAAGUGAAGUAGGCUGGUUGCAUGUCACUCUGAACUAUAAUUUAGAACUACAAGGACGAGCAGUGGGGAUGUGGUCACAUGUUGAGCUUCCUUUCUGUUUCAGUGAAUCUCAGCUUGGCGCUACAUACAAACCAGGAAUCCUGGUUUAAAACAAACUAUGGUCUGUUGCUAAACAAGCCAACUUCAGACAAUGGGUUGGCUUAUGUAACUAACCAUUGUAGUAAACAUGGCGAUGAUAGCAUCAUCCUGGAAACAUAAGCCGGCCUGACUUUCUUCUGUAUCUCUCAUUGUGGCUUGAUCAGCAGAAAUAACUCAGGGUUCUUUCUACCAGAUGAAGGAUGCCUCUUGUUGAAAUCCAUCAGGAAUGGAAUAAAAAGGAGGCUUCCUACCUGAAAUGCUAUAUUUCCCAGAAAAAUCUCACGCUGCCCAUCAGCAUAAGCAAGAUCGCCAGUUUUCUUAGAAGCAGUUUCCUUAGGAUUGGACUUUUUGAUGCACAAUGAGCCCAUUUGGUGUGAUUUAAGGAGGUACCUGCUUCUGUCAGCUGCCACUGUAUUGAGUUAGUCCUCUUUUCCUGUGCACCCUAGACUUCCCCAUGUUGAUGGGAAGGUCUCUAGAAUGGCGACGUCUGAUUGCACAUGUUCAGUCAAAUGUAUUGAUGUAUUGAAAAAGUGACCCAGGCAUCUCUCUCUCUCCCCCCACCCAGAUUCAUCCGCACUGUGUUCUGCAUUGAAAGAGAGGCCUGGCAAAUCCCUACCAUGGCCUGCCUAUGGAAUGAGGUGCGGAUGGGUGCAGUAUUCUUCUCUUUCAUCAGCUUUGUGUUUCUCCUUGCCUCUCUGGCCUCUGGACACUGGGUGCAAGGCCCUUACCAGAUAGGUCUGUGGAAAAUGUGCAUGCUAGAUUUCCCAUGUUUUGCACCUGGAAUGGAUGUGCCAGGUAAGACUAGAAAUGUGUAAGGAAGUUGAUGGAAUGUGCAUGUGAAAAUCCAAUAACUUUUCUCUACUCAGCUGCAAAAAUUGUGGUUUGGCACUGACUUAGUCUGACAUCAGUCAAGCCAACAUGAGGACUUCUAUUUCUAGAACAGACUGCAAUGUGGGUAAUUGUGUUUCUGUUAUGCUGGGAAAACUGGCACAAAGUUCAGGUCUCUGCUCCAAAAUUUUGCACAAAUCCUGUACAUUUGCACAAAUUGCAUAAAUACACACAGAUUUGUGCAAAUUGAGAAGUAGAAACCUGAAUUUUACCCAAAACUGAAAACAACUGGCAGGAAAUUCAGGGUGGCUAAGGUGGAGUACGUGCUCAUGCAGGGAGAGGAGAGAGCUGCCAUCCUUCUUGUGGACAAUGCUAGAGCACAAAAAACAACAGGAAAAAAUAUUAUUCUGAUCAAAUGAGUCGGACCCGACUUGUGCCAGUCUCAAUUUGUGCAGGUUGCACUAGAGCUAGGUAGUUCCUGGAUCCAAAUUUCUACGAAAUAUUCUGAGCAAAUCUGUGGAAGCCAACCGUGUUUUCCCAUUCUGCAGGCUUGGUCUGCUUUUGCCCAUUGAGUCAGCAAUGGAUCAAAAGUCUGUCCAAAUCCAAGGGAAUGGGCUUUCCAGUGUCACACAUCCGUAACCAAGAUCUUGCUUGUGGUCCUUUUGGGAACCCUUCAACUGACGUUUCUGCUAAGGAGUCUCCGCUGCAUGUCUGCAUGCAUGUUCCCUAUCCAUAACUGAGGAUUCUGGGAGUCAUACCACAUGCUGGGUUCCUGACGGGCCCACUAGUCGGGCUUCCCUGUCACUUCCCCAGAUGUGAGGACAGCGUACUUCUGAGAACAAGGAUGAGUGCACUUGAGAUCUGUUUGGGAUCUUUUUUAUUUAUUUAUUUAUUUUAGAAGCCGAGAUCUAACAACUUGGAGGCAGGUUCAAAGUGACUGCAGGAAACUGACCUGGGCUGAAAAUUAAGGAGGAGGGGACUUCUGGACAGAUGACAGAUAUUAUGUGGCAGCCACUAUCUUCUUGCUGAAGGGCACUUUCCUUAAAAGGUUGCAAAGAGUAGUUUAGGCCCAUCCUCUCUUGCCUCUCCAGUUUUAAAAUUUAGGGAAACUUAGGAGUUCUUGCAAACCAGACACUGGACAGAAGAGAAGGCAGGCGUGGCUUCUGUCAACUGUGCCCUCCAUGGACUUCCCUCCUGUCGACUCAGAGACCCGUUUGGCAGUACAGGUGAAAGAGGAUGCAGGCACCGGGAGCUUGGAAUGAGCAAGCAGCAGAAGCCUCCUCUUCCUUGUCUCCAAAACCACUAGGUCACUUGACCAGGAAUUGUCAUCUCCAGCUGGUCCACUGAAGACUGGGAAACUGAGAUGACGCUAAGCAAUGGCAUGAGGGGAGCAAUGUACUGUAUGCUUGGAAGGAUGUGAUUGCAGAGUCAACUCACAGAGUGAUCCUGGCAGGGUUGGCUGCGGGAGGCGCAAGAGAUUAUAGUGAGGGUGCGGGGCAAACCGGCUCAAGGACGGUGAUUUGCUGGCAUCGCGAAGGGGUAGCAUGGCGUCGGGUAUUAUGCGCACUGCCUGUGUGAUGACGGGUGGAACACCCCUUGCUGCCAUACCUCAACUAGUGAACAGUCUUGGCCUUGCCCUGCUUCAGAGGCUCUUGCACAGGCACAAAGGGAUGGGGGCAUCUAUUCUGUGAGGCAUUUCCUAAUACUUAAUAGGGUGGGAACAUUUCGCCUGUCCCCCUCUCUUGCCUUUCCGCAGCCUACAUUCACGUCACCCGGGCUUUCAUGCUGAUGGCAGCAGUUGCUGGGACCGUCUCCUUCUUUGGCCUUUGUGCCUCCUGCUGUCACGCACGUGUUGGUCCCACCCCCCUGGCUAAGAUUUCGGCCAUAGCCAGCUUCAUAGCAGGCAUGUGUGCGCUGGUGGCCAUGGCUGCUUUCACAGGAGUAUUUUCUAACGCUUCCACACGGAGCUCAGUGGAGUCCUGGUAUGACUGGUCUGCCGGACUGGGCUGGGCCUCUGGCCCUCUCUUCCUGAUAGCUGGUGGGCUGGCCUUCUCACUGCAAUCCACAUCAUUGAUAUGAAAGCUGGGGAAAUGCCACUCCCUCUGGGCCAGCAUAGUUGUCCAGAUGCUGCUUCUAAACUGUAUCAACAAAUGCAGGUGCACAACCUCCAGGCAAUAACAGCAAGUGAGUCCCAGGGGGCAAAUCAGAAUCGUACGCCAAGGGUCCUCCUUGGAUGAAACCUCUGAGGAACUGCAAGGGAGACUAAAAGCAUUUUAACAAUGAUGCCCAAGUGUCUUAGCUGGCUUGCGUGCUUUCUACAAUAAAUGCACACCUACUUA